CCUACGGGUGGCAGCAGUGGGGAAUAUUGCACAAUGGGGGAAACCCUGAUGCAGCGACGCCGCGUGAAGGAAGAAGUAUUUCGGUAUGUAAACUUCGAUCAGCAGGGAAGAAAAUGACGGUACCUGACUAAGAAGCCACGGCUAACUACGUGACAGCAGCCGCGGUAAUAAGGAGGGGGCAAGCGUUAUCCGGAUUUACUGGGUGUAAAGGGAGCGUAGGGGGUUCAGCAAGGCAGAAGUGAAAGCCCGGGGCUCAACUUCGGGACUGCUUUUGAAAAUGUUGAACUAGAUUGCAGGAGAGGUAAGUGGAAUUCCUAGUGUAGCGGUGAAAUGCGUAGAUAUUAGGAGGAACACCGGUGGCGAAGGCGGCUUACUGAACUGUAAAUGACGCUGAGGCUCGAAAGCGUGGGGAGCAAACAGGAUUAGAUACCCUGGUAGUC
rnacentral:rRNA from 1 species